UGGGGAAUAUUGCACAAUGGGGGAAACCCUGAUGCAGCAACGCCGCGUGAAGGACGAAGGUUUUCGGAUUGUAAACUUCUUUUAUAGGGGACGAAUAAUGACGGUACCCUAUGAAUAAGCCACGGCUAACUACGUGCCAGCAGCCGCGGUAAUACGUAGGUGGCAAGCGUUGUCCGGAUUUACUGGGUGUAAAGGGCGUGUAGGCGGACUUAUAAGUCAGAUGUGAAAUAUCGGGGCUCAACCCCGGGACUGCAUUUGAAACUGUAAGCCUUGAGUGAUGGAGAGGCAGGCGGAAUUCCCAGUGUAGCGGUGAAAUGCGUAGAUAUUGGGAGGAACACCAGUGGCGAAGGCGGCCUGCUGGACAUUUACUGACGCUGAGGCGCGAAAGCGUGGGGAGCAAACA
rnacentral:rRNA from 1 species